CAAGUCGAACGAGCGAGAGAGAGCUUGCUUUCUCGAGCGAGUGGCGAACGGGUGAGUAACGCGUGAGGAACCUGCCUCAAAGAGGGGGACAACAGUUGGAAACGACUGCUAAUACCGCAUAAGCCCACAGCUCGGCAUCGAGCAGAGGGAGAAGGAGCAAUCCGCUUUGAGAUGGCCUCGCGUCCGAUUAGCUAGUUGGUGAGGUAACGGCCCACCAAGGCGACGAUCGGUAGCCGGACUGAGAGGUUGAACGGCCACAUUGGGACUGAGACACGGCCCAGACUCCUACGGGAGGCAGCAGUGGGGAAUAUUGCACAAUGGGGGAAACCCUGAUGCAGCGACGCCGCGUGGAGGAAGAAGGUCUUCGGAUUGUAAACUCCUGUUGUUGAGGAAGAUAAUGACGGUACUCAACAAGGAAGUGACGGCUAACUACGUGCCAGCAGCCGCGGUAAAACGUAGGUCACAAGCGUUGUCCGGAAUUACUGGGUGUAAAGGGAGCGCAGGCGGGAAGACAAGUUGGAAGUGAAAUCCAUGGGCUCAACCCAUGAACUGCUUUCAAAACUGUUUUUCUUGAGUAGUGCAGAGGUAGGCGGAAUUCCCGGUGUAGCGGUGGAAUGCGUAGAUAUCGGGAGGAACACCAGUGGCGAAGGCGGCCUACUGGGCACCAACUGACGCUGAGGCUCGAAAGUGUGGGUAGCAAACAGGAUUAGAUACCCUGGUAGUCCACACUGUAAACGAUGAUUACUAGGUGUUGGAGGAUUGACCCCUUCAGUGCCGCAGUUAACACAAUAAGUAAUCCACCUGGGGAGUACGACCGCAAGGUUGAAACUCAAAGGAAUUGACGGGGGCCCGCACAAGCAGUGGAGUAUGUGGUUUAAUUCGACGCAACGCGAAGAACCUUACCAAGUCUU
rnacentral:rRNA from 1 species